AACGAACGCUGGCGGCAGGCCUAACACAUGCAAGUCGAGCGAGAUCUUCGGGUCUAGCGGCGGACGGGUGAGUAACGCGUGGGAAUAUGCCCUUCUCUGCGGAAUAGCCUCGGGAAACUGAGCGUAAUACCGCAUACGCCCUUUGGGGGAAAGAUUUAUCGGAGAAGGAUUAGCCCGCGUUGGAUUAGGUAGUUGGUGGGGUAACGGCCUACCAAGCCGACGAUCCAUAGCUGGUUUGAGAGGAUGAUCAGCCACACUGGGACUGAGACACGGCCCAGACUCCUACGGGAGGCAGCAGUGGGGAAUCUUAGACAAUGGGGGCAACCCUGAUCUAGCCAUGCCGCGUGAGUGAUGAAGGCCUUAGGGUUGUAAAGCUCUUUCAGCUGGGAAGAUAAUGACGGUACCAGCAGAAGAAGCCCCGGCUAACUCCGU
rnacentral:rRNA from 1 species